CGCGUAGGCGGUUCGGUAAGUUGCUGGUGAAAUCCCGGGGCUCAACUCCGGGGCUGCCGGCAAGACUGUCGGACUUGAGCACGGUAGGGGCAGAUGGAAUUCCCGGUGUAGCGGUGGAAUGCGUAGAGAUCGGGAAGAAUACCAGUGGCGAAGGCGUUCUGCUGGGCCGUUGCUGACGCUGAGGCGCGACAGCGUGGGGAGCAAACAGGAUUAGAUACCCUGGUAGUCCACGCCGUAAACGAUGGACACUAGGCGUCGGGGGGAGCGACCCUCCCGGUGCCGUCGCUAACGCAGUAAGUGUCCCGCCUGGGGAGUACGGCCGCAAGGCUGAA
rnacentral:rRNA from 1 species